UGGCUCCUGCUCACCAGAAUCUAUACCGAGAGGUGAUGCUGGAGAACUACAGCAACUUGGUGUCAGUGGGAUAUCAACUUUCCAAACCUAGUGUGAUAUCCCAGUUAGAGAAAGGAGAAGAGCCAUGGAUGGCAGAGAAAGAAGGCCCAGGAGAUCCCAGUUCAGCUACUUAUGAAAACUCCUGUAAGAGAAAUUACCAAAGGAUUCCUUCUCACCAAAUGUCGGGGUCCCUAACAAUCUCCUCAAACUUUGCUUUUUAUUCUGAAAUAUUUUAGACACUCAGAAAGGCAUAGAAAACAUUAUAACACAUUUCUGUGUAGCUUCCACCUAGACUAAGAAAUGAAACAGAGUUGAAGCUCCACUGUCCCCCUUACACCUUUUGAAAUAAGCACUCUGCGUUGAAAUAUUAUUCCCAUGUCUUCGUGCUUUUAUUACAUGUAUAAUGUAGUAAAAGCAGUCUAUAUAUCAGUGUAUACAUACUAAACAAUAUAUAGCAUUGUUUUGCAUGUUCUCUUUCUUUAAAUAAAUGGUAUGUAUACUU
rnacentral:sRNA from 1 species